CCCUUAGACGUUCUGGGCCGCACGCGCGCUACACUGACCAGUGCAACAAGCAUCCGUCCUUGGCCGACAGGCCCGGGCAAUCUUUGAACGCUGGUCGUGAUGGGGAUAGACUUUUGCAAUUUUUGGUCUUCAACGAGGAAUUCCUAGUAAACGCAAGUCAUCAACUUGCAUUGAUUACGUCCCUGCCCUUUGUGCACACCGCCCGUCGCACCUACCGAUUGAAUGGUCCGGUGAAGCCUCCGGAUUGGCGCGCACCCCGGUGCCGCCGAGAAGUUGGCUAAACCUUACCAUUUAGAGGAAGGUGAAGUCGUAACA
rnacentral:rRNA from 1 species